rnacentral:rRNA from 1 species
GAUGAACGCUGGCGGCGUGCCUAAUACAUGCAAGUCGAGCGAACAGACGAGGAGCUUGCUCCUCUGACGUUAGCGGCGGACGGGUGAGUAACACGUGGAUAACCUACCUGUAAGACUGGGAUAACUUCGGGAAACCGGAGCUAAUACCGGAUAACAUGUUGAACCGCAUGGUUCAACAGUGAAAGACGGUCUUGCUGUCACUUAUAGAUGGAUCCGCGCCGCAUUAGCGAGUUGGUAAGGUAACGGCUUACCAAGGCAACGAUGCGUAGCCGACCUGAGAGGGUGAUCGGCCACACUGGAACUGAGAAACGGUCCAGACUCCUACGGGAGGCAGCAGUAGGGAAUCUUCCGCAAUGGGCGAAAGCCUGACGGAGCAACGCCGCGUGAGUGAAGAAGGUCUUCGGAUCGUAAAACUCUGUUAUUAGGGAAGAACAAAUGUGUAAGUAACUAUGCACGUCUUGACGGUACCUAAUCAGAAAGCCACGGCUAACUACGU